CAGCGAGCACGUGAGCGCAGAGCCAGCUCCGGAGCGCUACGGCGCGCGUGGCGGCACACCUGCUCCCCGAGGCUGAUCGUUAACAGCCGUGGGCAGGGGUUGGGCCAGGGUACAGCUGUCAGGACCUCACUGGACAGGACCGGAGAGGACCCCGCGUAACCGCGGAACAGACACUCCCGGCAGCGGCCGCCGCCGCGGCACUGCUACGGGACGAGCCGGAGCGCUUGGCCAUGGCGGCCCGAUCCGCACUGGCGCUGCUGCUGCUGCUGCCAGUCCUGCUCCUGCCGGUGCAGAGCCGCUCAGAGCCCGAGACCACCGCGCCCACCCCUACCCCAAUCCCGGGUGGCAACUCGUCAGUGAGCAGGCCCCUGCCCAGCAUCGAGCUCCACGCCUGCGGCCCAUACCCCAAACCAGGCCUGCUCAUCCUGCUGGCCCCGCUGGCCCUGUGGCCCAUUCUCCUGUAGGGACGCCCAGCCAGCCACCUCUAAGUCGCCGCUGGGACUGGCCUGCCCCAUUGAGCAACAGAGACGCUUGACAGCCGCCCGCCUCCAUUCCUUGACUUCACCCAGAAAUGGGUCCAGAAAACUGAAUCCCACCAGCACUGGUUUGGAGCAACCGGACACCGAGGUUUCACCUCCAGGGAUUCCAUGAAGAGCCUCAAUGGAGAUGCCACAUCCUACUGAGUUAAAGAUGGGCUGAGGAACUUGGGUACCCACAAGUCUGCCUUGGGAAUCAAAAGAAAAUAUUUACCUUUAGUUUGGUUCAUUAAAUGCAUGAAGUCAAAAUAUGACCAGGAGAACAAUAAUAAGGAAAAAGUUAACUUUUGACUAAAGCCGAAUUCCUGAUUCUAAGAUUUAAAGGUCACCUACCAGGAUUAAGAUUUGGUCCUCACAACUGUUACCUGAAGUUGUAAUGCAGUAGAGAGAAUGAGAAGAGAGAGAGGUCAGAAAGUCACCCAGUAAACAAAAGGACCACAGAUUUUUCUCCAUCCUCAACAGAGAUUCCAGUUGAUGAAGAAGGCUGCCAUGCAGGCUCAGGGCAAGGAAAGGGAAUGUGCUGCUAGCACUGGACCUCAGCUCCGGGCAAGGCUGCACCUUCUGAACCGACGGCCCAGGAGCGAAGUGACCCAUACUUCCUCCAAAGCAUCACUCUCCAGACAUGGUAAUCCAGGCCCAGAAGCAAAGGUCAGUCCCACUGUGCCUGUCACACACUCUGCUCCUCUACACCCUCCUCUAGGAAAUGAAAGAGGAAGGAUGUUGAUCUCUAGGGUCUUUUAAAUUGUUCCAAAUAAAUAAAAUAGAAUUAUUUUCUCUUACUAAAAAUAAAACACUGAUUUUCAUAUUAAAGACAAAUUAAUUUUGCAAAGGAUUAAAAAAGCAGAAAUCCAAAUCAGUUUAGCAGAAAGAUGAACAGAUGGAUUUCUGAGGUCCACUGGCCUGCAUCCAAAUUUCGCAGCCUAGCCCACGGUUAAACUCGAUCUGGAGUCUUCCAGCUCCUCCUCCUACAGGGAAACCCCCACUCUCCCUGGACUGUGGUCCACAGGAGAAC
rnacentral:lncRNA from 1 species